CCUACGGGAGGCUGCAGUGAGGAAUAUUGGUCAAUGGUCGGGAGACUGAACCAGCCAAGCCGCGUGAGGGAGGAAGGUACAGAGUAUCGUAAACCUCUUUUGUCAGGGAACAAAGGCGGGGACGUGUCCCCGGAUGAGUGUACCUGAAGAAAAAGCAUCGGCUAACUCCGUGCCAGCAGCCGCGGUAAUACGGAGGAUGCGAGCGUUAUCCGGAUUUAUUGGGUUUAAAGGGUGCGCAGGCGGUCUGUUAAGUCAGCGGUAAAAGGGCGGGGCUCAACCCCGCCGCGCCGUUGAAACUGGCCGUCUAGAGUUGGCGAGAAGUAUGCGGAAUGCGCGGUGUAGCGGUGAAAUGCAUAGAUAUCGCGCAGAACUCCGAUUGCGAAGGCAGCAUGCCGGCGCCACACUGACGCUGAGGCACGAAAGCGUGGGUAUCGAACAGGAUUAGAUACCCUUGUAGUC
rnacentral:rRNA from 1 species